UUUCAUAUACUGUGGCAGUAUUGUAGACAAUGAGGUUUAUCCAAGGUGCAAUUAUUGCUACUUGAAAAGUAAGAUUAACAGUGGGAAUUUGUACACUGUCUCACAUGAU
rnacentral:snRNA from 7 species